GUGAGCCGAGAUUGCGCCAUUGCACUCCAGCCUGGGAGACAGAGCGAGACUCCAUCUCAAAAAUAAAUUAAAAAGGUGAGGCUGUGCCUAAGUUUGGGAGUGCAGGUACAUUUUGUACCUGCCCUUGCUUUAGUGGGCUGAUUUUGCCUUGCCCACAGCUGCCUUCCUUGGUGGUAACUUUUCUCUCCCUCUCACUUGUAGUUUAUUUCUCCUGUGACAUAUUUGCCUGUCUCUUGUAUUUAAUAAUAUAAAAUGAAGUAAAAAAAGUUUUAGUAAAAAAUAUAUACACAUUACUGAAAUUCAUUAUUUACCAUCCUGCAUUCAAUGUGAAUGCUUGUCAUAAAGCUAAUGUGUAAUGACAUGUUUAAAAUAACAAUUGCCGCUCCAUGUCAGGGCAGUACCUCAUUUUUAUUGCUGUUGUUCCUGAAGACUGUAUUUCUCAGCUUGGUCUUUGAGGCAUUCUACAAUAUGUCUCAUGUAUACUCUGCUAGCCUUGUCCCAAUUUUGUUUGGAUAGUACUUCUGAAAACAUUUGGGCAAUUGAUAAGUGUUCUUUCACAGGAGCUCUGUAGUCAAAUAGGUUUGGGAGACUUGGGGAAAACAGUGACUUUGUGGCAGUACUUUCUCAGAGCCUUUCGUACACUAAUGUGCAUUGUAAAUGAAUUUCAAAAAGUAGUAUAGGCUGUAGUGUUUUCCAAACUUACUUGCCUAUGGAAUCCUUUUUCUAUUUUUCGUGCAUCUAUUGACUUAUCACAGAAGCACUGUCCAGAGAAUAACUGUCUACAAAAAAACAAAAUCUUUUCUGCUUCUGUGACUGCUCAUUUUGUCCCCUCCAUCUUCCCCUCCAAUUUUCUAAGUCCUGCGCAUCCUCAAGGACCAUCAGAAAAGCCAUCUCUACCAUAAAGCUUUGUCUGAUCCUCUAAAUGCAGUAUCUUUCCUUGGAAACGUGACGAUGUCUUUGCAUCUCUCUUCUGCUAUUUCUGAUACUCUUGCGUCAUUUUUAUAUGGGCAUUUCUUACCUGUCUUAGUAGGUUAUAAUCUGCUUGAGGGAAGGGACUGUAUCUUACUUACCAUGGAUGCCCUGUGGUACUUCAGUGCCCUGAGAAAUGGAAGCUUAUUGAGCUCCUACUUCUUACUGUAAUAGGAGCUCAAUAAGAACAUGUAAUUGAAACCAACCAGGGACCCAUUGAAAUUAGUCCUUUACUUAAUUGCACUAUUACAUUGCUUUUCUUUGUUAUACCUGUCUUUCCAACAGGGAAAGAGGUUCUAUAUUGAUUAAAAAGACCCUUUAGCUUAAAGUAAGGCCAAUAUUUUAAUUUCAAGAAGAAAUUUUUUUAAGUCCCCAUUAUAUUUUAUGUUAUGGUCAGAAAUUAUUGUUAUUUAUAUAAGAUUAUAAUAAACAACUUAUAUCUAUGGAAUAUAGACCUCUUAAUACUCCUUUUACACAUAUACCAAACAUUAUUGUUUCAUAUUAUGUUAUUUCCAGCAAAGACACCUCCAAAAAUUAGGUAGUUCAUGUUAUGAUUUUGAGAGUCACAGUUUUUAACAACCUUGUGUUUCAAAGAGGGAAAAAAUAACCACUUUCAUUUUUGCCUCCUACUGACUCACCAACUAGGAAAGGUCGGCGUGGCAGUAGGAGGCAAAAAUGAAAGUGAUUGUUUUCCUGUGAAACACUGGGCUGCCACACGGUAUAAAUUUCAAAAUUAUAGAAGCGGUUCUGCAUUUCUUUUCACACGGUUCCUUUCGCUUAUGCCUCCUGCUGCUGCUCCUAUGUGGGUGAACCUCUUUCCCUGUUGGAAACAGGCAAGUGUCAUUCCGGGUUCUAGCUGCCUUGUGGCAGGUGGGGGAAGGGAGAAGGAUUUUUUUUCCCUACUCUCUGCAUUCACACUGAUGGUGUGAGACAGUGAGAGAAAGAUUACCUGACAAGAGCUCAUAGGCAUUAUUGCUUAUUAAGUCUUUGAAAAACGUUAUUGGUCUCAGUAGCAUUAUUUUAAAAGACUGGGAAAGGACAUCCUGUGCUCAGGGUUGACAACCUAUUUUUAGUUUUGUUCCACACCAGUGGCCUGAGUAAUGGGGGUGACAGUAGCAGCAGUACUACUGUCCAGAAUGAAGGUGGUAAGAGAGUGAGCCAGGGGUUAAAUUUUCAGUUCAUGUGAGUGGUAAUGAGAGGUCGGAAGAUGAUAGCAAUAAGGAAGGUAAAAGUCCUUUAGCUGGGUGGUAGAAGCCUCAAAGCUGUGGUUCCUCACUGCCGCCCAACUUUGUCCCCCAACUCCCUACACAAAAAGGAGCAGUAGUGUUGUAGAAGAGGCAUGGUGGAUGGAGAAGGUUGUGGUUCCGACCUCCUGACCCUAUGUAUGUGGGCAAGGGAGAAUAAGUAGCCUCUGCUUGAGAGGGUUACAGGGGAAGCAGUACCCUGGAGGGAAGAGGUAUGCUCCCAUUGAAGCAAGAAUGUGCGGGAAAAUUACAUAGGGUUAGCCCAGUGACUUAUUUCACUUUUGUAAUGCUGAUAUAAGUCCAGGCGUAAACAGAAAACUAAGGAAGUCAGUUUUCUGAGUGUCAAAUACCAAUUCCAUGUUACAUGAUGAGUGGGGUAUAUUCUUGGCAUAUCCUUUCUUUUUCUUGUAUCAGAAUGAAUAUUCUCACCCCAUAAUGAGUAACAUGUGGUCUCAUUUUUGGUACAAUGUAAGUUCCUUUUGUUUUGUUUUAGAAUGUGAGACUUACGUAUCUUUAUUAAUGUAUUCAGAAUUUUUUUCUCAGCUCUGCUUCCUCCCACUCUGCCUUCCUUUCCUCCUUUCUUCCUUUAUUGAUUCCUUCCACUAAUGUCUCUAGAAGGUACUGAAAGCAUAUUUUGACUAGAUGCUUAUUCUAUAUAUUUUCAUUGCCUUCGGACUCUUGUUUGUGGAACAGUGGAUUUAGCUCUUUUAAAAAAAUAAAACUUUAAACUGUGUAAAAGGUGGUGAUUGGGAAUUAGUAAAAUUUUUGCUCUUUACUAUAAGACUAAUUUUAAACAAUGGAAGUUUACAAUUAACAUUUUGUAUUUUUAUUUAUGGUUAUUAGGUGAAGAUGGCCAUAGUACAUCCAAAUUUUUUCAUAAAGUUAAAUAUAAACCAAUUAUAAUUAGAGUACAAUUUUAAGAAUUUCUGUUGAGUGAUUAGAAGGUUGUUUAAUUUUCAUUGUGAUGUGAUCAGAGGCCUAGGAUAUGUUUUGUUUUGUUUUUAAUUUGAAGGUGGUGUAAUACUUUGGCUACUUAUGAAAGAGAGAGGACAUGUCACCCACAUAUGUGGGUAGAAAAACAGAUACUCCUUAUUCCUACAGGAGUACAUAAUUUAGCACAGUGGGUUAGAGCAUGAGCUUGAAGUCAUACUGCCUGGGAUCAGUUCUUAGUCCUUCACUUCCUAGCCAUGUGAUGCAGAGGAGGUUAUUUAACAUCUAGAAACGUCAGUUUUCUUAUUAGUGAUUGAGAUGAACCAUAGUUUUUACCUCAUAAAGUUGAUAUGGAGCUUUUAGGAUGAUGCUUGGCACAUAGUUAACACUCAUUAAAUGUUAGCAAAGAUGAUGAUGAUGACUGCAGUGACAACAUGCUGCCAAUAAUUGUCUUGGCCCACAUUUCUCUAUCCAUUGUUUUCUUCCAUAUCAUAUUAUAUCUUUUAUUACAUCUUUCUUACCUACUUUCUGCCUAGAUGGCUUCUCCUUUGGCCUUUUUUUUACCAGUAAAUGGCAUCACUAUUCAUCUGUGUGCUUCACCCAAAAAUCUCAAUUAUCCUCAAUUUCUUUCUCUCCGUCACUCCUCAUAUUCAAUUCAUUGACAAGAUUUUGACUCCUUCUCAAAAUUAUGUUCUGAUUUCUCCUGCUGUCCUCAUCUCUCUUGCCUCCUCAGGCCAUACCCACUACCCCCUGUCCAGGCUCCUUGCUUCCAUUCUUGCUCUACUCACCCUUCUUCCCAGUUCUCCAUGCAGCAUCAUGAGUUAUUUUUGUCAAAUGUGUAUCAGAAUGCAGAAUGGGGCUACCUUGCUUAGAACCCAGACCCCUUACUCUUGCUGUCAAAGCGUAAUAUGAUUUUCUCAAUGCUUACUUCUUUUGUGUGUGUGUAUGUGUGUGCAUGUGUGUGUGUG